CCUGGCGGCUGUAGCGCGGUGGUCCCACCUGACCCCAUGCCGAACUCAGAAGUGAAACGCCGUAGCGCCGAUGGUAGUGUGGGGUCUCCCCAUGCGAGAG
rnacentral:rRNA from 2 species